CCUACGGGUGGCAGCAGUGAGGAAUAUUGGUCAAUGGGCGAGAGCCUGAACCAGCCAAGUCGCGUGAGGGCUGACGGUCCUAUGGAUUGUAAACCUCUUUUGUCGGGGAACAAAGGCGUCCACGUGUGGACUGAUGAGUUUACCCGAAGAAAAAGCAUCGGCUAACUCCGUGCCAGCAGCCGCGGUAAUACGGAGGAUGCGAGCGUUAUCCGGAUUUAUUGGUGUGAAAGGGUGCGUAGGCGGACAGUCAAGUCAGCGGUAAAAAUGCGGUGCUCAACGCCGUACAGCCGUUGAAACUGGCAGUCUUGAGUGGGAGAGAAGUAUGCGGAAUGCGUGGUGUAGCGGUGAAAUGCAUAGAUAUCACGCAGAACUCCGAUUGCGAAGGCAGCAUACCGGCGCCCUACUGACGCUGAGGCACGAAAGCGUGGGUAUCGAACAGGAUUAGAUACCCCGGUAGUC
rnacentral:rRNA from 1 species